rnacentral:tRNA from 6 species
GGUGGGUUGGCCGAGAGGCGAGGCAGCGGCCUGCAAAGCCGUAUACACGGGUUCGAAUCCCGUACCCACCUCCA